UACGUAGGGGGCUAGCGUUGUCCGGAAUCAUUGGGCGUAAAGGGCGCGUAGGCGGCCUUCUAAGUCGAACGUGAAAUCCCCGGGCUCAACCCGGGAACUGCGUCCGAUACUGGAAGGCUUGAAUCCGGGAGAGGGAUGCGGAAUUCCAGGUGUAGCGGUGAAAUGCGUAGAUAUCUGGAGGAACACCGGUGGCGAAGGCGGCAUCCUGGACCGGUAUUGACGCUGAGGCGCGAAAGCCAGGGGAGCAAACGGG
rnacentral:rRNA from 1 species